rnacentral:rRNA from 1 species
UGGGGAAUCUUGCGCAAUGGAGGAAACUCUGACGCAGUGAUACCGCGUGAGUGAGGAAGGCCUUCGGGUUGUAAAGCUCUGUCAAAAUGGAAAAACGAUGUUAUGUCGAACAGGCAUAACAAGUGAUGGUACAUUGAGAGGAAACACCGGCUAACUUCGUGCCAGCAGCCGCGGUAAUACGAAGGGUGUAAGCGUUGUUCGGAUUUAUUGGGCGUAAAGCGCGCGCAGGCGGGUGAUCAAGUCAGAUGUGAAAUCUCGGGGCUCAACUCCGAAACAGCGUCUGAAACUAAUUAUCUAGAGUCUUGGCAGGGGAGGGGGAAUUUCACAUGUAGGGGUAAAAUCCGUAGAGAUGUGAAGGAACACCAGAGGCGAAGGCGCCCUCCUG